GACGAACGCUGGCGGCGUGCUUAACACAUGCAAGUCGAACGAUGAAGCCUUAGCUUGCUUUGGUGGAUUAGUGGCGAACGGGUGAGUAACACGUGAGCAACGUGCCCAGGACUCUGGAAUAACCGCGGGAAACCGUGGCUAAUACAGGAUAGGUGCCGAGGACGCAUGGUCUUCGGUUGGAAAGUUUUUGCGGUUCUGGAUCGGCUCACGGCCUAUCGGCUUGUUGGUGGGGUAAUGGCCUACAAAGGCGACGACGGGUAGCCGGCCUGAGAGGGUGACCGGCCUCCCUACUCCUGCGGCACGGCCCAGACUGCAACCGUAGGCAGCGGUGGGAAAUUUUGCACAAUGGGCGCAAGCCUGAUGCAGCGACGCCGCGUUGGUAAUGACCGCCUUCUAGUUGUAAACCUCUUUUUGUAUGGAUGUACCGCUAGUGACGGUACCUGCAGAAAAAGCACCGGCUAACUACGUG
rnacentral:rRNA from 1 species